rnacentral:misc_RNA from 1 species
AUUGCAGAUAUUCGUGAAUCAUCGAAUCCUUUGAACGCACAUUGCGCCCUCUGGUAUUCCGGAGGGCAUGCCUGUUUGAGCGUCGUUUCUCCCUCAAACCGCUGGGUUUGGUGUUGAGCAAUACGACUUGGGUUUGCUUGAAAGACGGUAGUGGUAAGGCGGGAUCGCUUUGACAAUGGCUUAGGUCUAACCAAAAACAUUGCUUGCGGCGGUAACGUCCACCACGUAUAUCUUCAAACUUUGACCUCAAAUCAGGUAGGACUACCCGCUGAACUUAAGCAUAU